GCGCGCGCAGACACAGCCUUGUCUCACGCGCCCAAUCAGGAGCGUGUGGUGGGAGGUGCCAAGGAUUAAUUACCAGAUACCUUUAGUCUAGCUCGGGCCGGGAUUUUGAGGUUUCCGGUGGAGCAGGUGAGCAGUAUUUACUCGCCUGCCCUCCUGGGCUGGUUAUGCUGUGGGAGGAGGCGCCCCUCGAGAUGGGAAUAGUAGUUUUAAAUAGACCCAGGUUGGCCGCUCAUCAGCGCUCCCACGUGCUGAAGUCUAGUGCACGUCUGACCCUAAGGGAGCAAUACUGAGAACAGCAGGGAGCAGGCUGAGUCAAGCUCAAUUGAGUGGAUGGGGCUAGGACAGAGAGAGUUAGGGGCAGGGUUUUCACUGGUCUCCGUAAUCAGUCGCUGCCGUCCGCCAAGGUGUAGAUGUGGGAACAAGCUUAAAUUCUCAAACUUUAGCUUCUGUUGCUGUGUUUCAGUUCUUGAGCCAGAAAGUGUUGAGACUAAUUAGUUAAUUAGGUAGAGUUUAGAGUCAGAAAAACAAUACAAUACUUCCUGAAAUAUCCAAGUUGGGAGGUGGGAUUUACCUCAGUAGGAUUGGCCUGUUUUAGUCAAGGGUUUAAAGUAUGGAGACGGCAGUUAUGCUCUCUAGUGUAUCCUUCAGGCAAAAGAAAGACCUUAAUUUUUAUGAGGAAUUUAAAAGUGGGUAAGCACUGACCAGCUUAAGGUUUUUUAACAUUCCUUAAUGACCCCAGUUACCGAAGUGGAGAUCUUCAAUUACUUGGAAAAAUAAACUUGUUUUAAAAAUACACUUAAUUUGAAAACUGUUGCAGAAAGUUUUACCUAAUAAAAACUUAACACGUCAACAAUGAUGAAUAUAAGUAGUCUAAUGUAUACUGUUCAAGUGACCAUGUAGUGUCACUAGUGAAGCAGUGCUUCUCAAACUAGUGUCCAUAGGAACCACCUGGGGUUUUGUUGAAAAUGCGACUUUGAUUUGGUAGGGCAGUGGUGGAGCCUGAGAGCCUACAUUUCUAACUAGCUCCCAGGUGAUACAGAUUUUUCUCGUCUGAACCACCCCGUGAGUAGCAAAGCACUGAAGUGCUUACCUCAUGGCCUAACUGCUCAUGAGGCUCACCUCAGUAACACCUCUGGCCCCUCCCUCCUCCCUGAAUAAUCUGUGUUCUCUCUCAUAGCUAGCCAGAUAUACUAAAAGCACAGGACUAGGCAUGAAGAUGGAGGGAGGAACCCAGAUUAGUUAUUGCUUCCCAUUUGCUUGAUAUUGGCCUGGUUAGUUAUCUUCUAACCCCGUUUCUUCACCGCUAAAUACCUCUUGACUUGCUACUGGUACCUGGAAGAGAUGUAACACCUGACCAUGGGACAUCAAGUGACUGUGUGAAUCAAACUGCCCAUCAUGAAUUGUUGUUAUUUGACUCAUCAAACUGUACAACUGGAUGAACACAGGAGCAGUGCACUACAUAUGGGACUGGAACCAUGAAUGAGCAGGUGACUCAGACUCCUAUAGUACCUGCCUCUACUCCUUCAGCACUUCUCCCUCAACCCACAUAAACUGUCAUCAUAAUGAGUUCCCUCUGACCAGUUAAUGGAAGAGAAAAAAGUAUGGAUGUUAUGGAUAUCCUAACAUAUUUCUGGCCAUUGGACCCCUAGAAACCUGUGGCAAGUCCUGGAAGUUUUUCAAGGUUCAUCUUGCACCUUCUAGCAUGCAUAUGUCGUACCAAAGCAUGUAGAAUGCUGCCUACUUCUGCUCUUCAGUUUCAUUUAAUAUAAUUUCAUUACUCUGAUAAAUCAGUGUGAUGUUCUAUGGAAUAACAAAAGACCAUCAAGGUCCCUUCAUACCAUAUAGAGAACAGGAGAGUUGAUGUAGCCUGAGACAAGACAGUAAGGACUUACUGUUAUCCCUCCUAUUUAAACGUAGUCUGUUUCUGAUUCUCCUUAGAAUGGGGGUGGGGGGACAUUUCCAGAUCAAUAUCAGAUCAGUAUCAUGUCAACAUGGGUAUUAAUUUCUUCCGAAGAAGAUACCACACCUAGAACAGCAACCAUAAUUGGCAUCCCUACCUAAUUAAAGUUUGCAGUCCACUGUCA
rnacentral:lncRNA from 1 species